rnacentral:rRNA from 1 species
GUGGGGAAUAUUGGACAAUGGGCGCAAGCCUGAUCCAGCCAUGCCGCGUGAGUGAUGAAGGCCUUAGGGUUGUAAAGCUCUUUCAGUGGGGACGAUAAUGACGGUACCCACAGAAGAAGCCCCGGCUAACUUCGUGCCAGCAGCCGCGGUAAUACGAAGGGGGCUAGCGUUGUUCGGAUUUACUGGGCGUAAAGCGCACGUAGGCGGAUCGUUAAGUCGGGGGUGAAAUCCUGGAGCUCAACUCCAGAAAUGCCUUAGAUACUGGCGAUCUUGAGGUCGGAAGAGGUGAGUGGAACUCCUAGUGUAGAGGUGGAAUUCGUAGAUAUUAGGAAGAACACCAGUGGCGAAGGCGGCUCACUGGUCCGGUACUGACGCUGAGGUGCGAAAGCGUGGGGAGCAAACAGGAUUAGAAACCCGUGUAGUCC